UACAGAGACUGCAAGCGUUAUUCGGAUUCACUGGGCGUAAAGCGCGCGCAGGCGGUCUUGCAAGUCAGGGGUGAAAGCCCGGGGCUCAACCUCGGAACUGCCUUUGAGACUGUGAGACUCGAGACCGAGAGAGGAGAGUGGAAUUCCCAGUGUAGAGGUGAAAUUCGUAGAUAUUGGGAAGAACACCAGUGGCGAAGGCGGCUCUCUGGCUCGGUACUGACGCUGAGGCGCGAAAGCGUGGGGAGCAAACAGG
rnacentral:rRNA from 1 species